rnacentral:misc_RNA from 1 species
UAGGAAUCAUGUGGCCUUGGGCCACAAAAGGAAACAAGAUAAGGUGCAGUUGUUGGGACUCGGAACCCAUGGUGAUAAUACGAAAAGUUUUGAACUGUGGUUAUGUCUAUAGCAUGAUGUGUGGGCAUAUAAUGCUUCUCUUUCUGCCAGCAUACAGAGAAGAUAUAUAAAGAAAAUAGGCUAAUUAUUAGGUAUAUCAACAGUACUAAAAAAUAGUGCUCAUUCUCUCACAUAAAGUGGAUCCUUCCUAUAUAAUAGAGAAUAGGUCUCACAUAAUAGGGAAUAGGUCCCAUAUGAUUGUGAGAGAAGAUGUAUGUGCACAAGGUGCACCCAAUAAUUCCUCAAGAAAAUAUUGUGUGGAUUCCGUGGUUCCAAAGACAAUACAUUUAAGCAUUUUGUGGUUCCAAAGACAAGCAUUUAUGUUCACUUAACACUCACUCCCAACCAAAUAAGACUCAAGAUUUAUUUCCAU